AUGCAGUCUUGUAUAUGCUGCUCACUGUCGUUUUGGCCGUUUUUCUGUUUUUUUGUUGUUACAAAAAAAGGAGAUUGAAAGUCAGUGCCAAAUGCAUGGCAAUCCUUGGUCGAGCUUAUUUAUGAUUUCGUGCUGAACCUGGUAAACGAACAAAUAGGUGGUCUUUCCGGAAAUGUGAAACAAAAGUUUUUCCCUCGCUCUCGGUCACUUUUACUUUUGAGUUAUUUUGUAAUCCCCAGGGUAUGA
rnacentral:rRNA from 1 species